CGAACGAUGAACCACUUCGGUGGGGAUUAGUGGCGAACGGGUGAGUAACACGUGGGCAAUCUGCCCUGCACUCUGGGACAAGCCCUGGAAACGGGGUCUAAUACCGGAUACUGAUCAACUGGGGCAUCCCUGGUGAUCGAAAGCUCCGGCGGUGCAGGAUGAGCCCGCGGCCUAUCAGCUUGUUGGUGAGGUAACGGCUCACCAAGGCGACGACGGGUAGCCGGCCUGAGAGGGCGACCGGCCACACUGGGACUGAGACACGGCCCAGACUCCUACGGGAGGCAGCAGUGGGGAAUAUUGCACAAUGGGCGAAAGCCUGAUGCAGCGACGCCGCGUGAGGGAUGACGGCCUUCGGGUUGUAAACCUCUUUCAGCAGGGAAGAAGCGAAAGUGACGGUACCUGCAGAAGAAGCGCCGGCUAACUACGUGCCAGCAGCCGCGGUAAUACGUAGGGCGCGAGCGUUGUCCGGAAUUAUUGGGCGUAAAGAGCUCGUAGGCGGCUUGUCGCGUCGGUUGUGAAAGCCCGGGGCUUAACCCCGGGUCUGCAGUCGAUACGGGCAGGCUAGAGUUCGGUAGGGGAGAUCGGAAUUCCUGGUGUAGCGGUGAAAUGCGCAGAUAUCAGGAGGAACACCGGUGGCGAAGGCGGAUCUCUGGGCCGAUACUGACGCUGAGGAGCGAAAGCGUGGGGAGCGAACAGGAUUAGAUACCCUGGUAGUCCACGCCGUAAACGGUGGGCACUAGGUGUGGGCAACAUUCCACGUUGUCCGUGCCGCAGCUAACGCAUUAAGUGCCCCGCCUGGGGAGUAC
rnacentral:rRNA from 1 species